rnacentral:rRNA from 1 species
GCUUACGGCCACACCACCCUGAACACGCCCGAUCUCGGAAGCUAAGCAGGGCCGGGCCUGGUUAGUACUUGGAUGGAGACCGCCUGGGAAUACCAGGUGCUGUAAGUU